AUGCAAUCAUUUGAAUUGAGAGA
rnacentral:snRNA from 1 species